UCUAUCUAGGCCUUAGGCCCGAGUCAGACGUGCGAAUUUAAUACUAUAGUAUUGACUAGGCAUAGGUGAUAGCUUAUAAAUCGUGCUACAGGCGAUUUAUGAAUAAAGAAGAAUCGAAUUUGCCAGCAAAAAAUACAGAAAGCGUGCACUAGCAGAAUCAGAGACAGAUGAUGGCGAUCUUCUGAAACGUUCGCCCAAGAAAUCGAAAUUGACGUCAGCAUCGAGUUUCCCACCUCGAACUAGGCCUACAUACAUCAUCACACACACGAGCUAAAUUUUGCAUAAUAUGUAAGAAGUUAAAACGGUUUACUAUGGUUCGUCGCAAAGACAAAGGGAUAAGCUAUCUCGGGCCGAAACAAAAGCUGCAGGUGUAUUAUUACAAGCAGCCAAGCUGCAAAAAGCAGAAGAGUCAAUUCUCGUGCAUCUUCGAGGAGGGAAUUGUGUUGCCCUUGAAGUCCACUGUACCAUAAAUCAUGUUAUAGGGACUACACAAGGUUUAUGUAUCAAGUAAAACAGUCUAAAGAAGAGACUGGCGAGCACACAAGUUCAUAUGAUGUAUCAUACAAAAUAUUUCGUAAGACAUAUUAAACACAGACUGCUGUUUAACCUGGAAGUUCUGCACUUGACAAAGCUUCAUCAGUUGUUUAUUCGACUUGUCAAGAAACAUUAAAGAAUUGAAGUUAAAAAUUCCAGACCAGGUCAACUGAAAUAUAGAAUGCAAAACGACUAUCCACAGCUCUUGUUUCAUUCACUUUAUCGCAGGAAUGUUAUUGUUUUGGUGCUUUCUGACACUAUUUCUACACACCACAUAGUAGAUCAGUUGCCA